GAGUUCGUUUGGGGGCUCCCAGGCCGCGAGGCGCGCUGCCAGUUGGGAUGAAAAUGGCGGAUGAGGCCGGGGACGGUGGCUCACGCCUGUGGUCCCAGCACUUUGGGAGGCCGAGGCAGGCGGAUCACAAGGUCAGGAGAUCGAGAACAUCCUGGCUAACACUGUGAAACCCCGUCUCUUCUAAAAAUACAAAAAAAAAAAAAAAUAGCCAGGCUUGGUGGCGGGCGCUUGUAGUCCCAGCUACUCAGGAGGCUGAGGCAGGAGAAUGGCGUGAACCCGGGAGGCGCAGCUUGCAGAAAGCCGAGAUGGCGCCGCUGCACUCCAGCCUGGACGGCAGAGCGAGACUCCAUCUCAAAAAAAAGAAACUGGCGGACGAAGGAAGAGAUCCUCCUUCAGGCAGGGAAGGGAAGAAGGGCACUCGGUGACCACAGACCUUUUCCAGGACCAUGUCUUUGAAGCAAAUCUCAGCUCUUGUCUUCCGGAAGCGAUGGAGACAGAAUCCAGAAGCCUGAGACUCUCUCCUUUCCUGGCUUUGAUGAAGCAAGCUGCCACAUUGGAGAGACCCACAUGAUAAGGACCUGAAGGUGGCCUCCAGCUAGCUCCAGCCAACAGUCGGCAAGGAAUUGAGGACCUGAGUCCAAUAGACCUUGAGGAACUGAAUCCUGCCAACAGCUACACAAGAGUGCCAGAAUGUCAUGGCUGAGAAAAGAGAUGUUAACAGGCUCUAUGAUGUUGGCCACAGAGUGCCCCCCUAAAGAGGCCUCAGAAGAAUGAAGGGUAAGAAGCUCCUCCAUAAAAUCAGAUGGCACAAAAUUGGAGGAAAAAGAGUCCUUGGCAUGAGGCUGCCACCAGGAGAAUUCUGAAGAUGCAGGGCGUGAAUGGUCAAUGCCUUUGAUUGUUGGGGCACAGGUGGAUGACCCACCAGAGCCACCUAGAGAUAACAUCUCCGGAAAAGUCUUCAAGACGGUGAGAUUUGAUUUAGACUGAGUCACAGUGCAAUCUUCCAGUGGUAAAGCAGAUGGGGUUGGUGGUUCGUGACGAUGAGCACAUGAAUCAGUGGGAUUCACGGCCUGGGAAAUAUCUUGGCAUAGGGUGGAGUCAAAUGAAAAGAUGGUGUUCAGAGACAAACUGGCCUCGGGUUGGAGGCUGGGCUCCCCUCUCUCAAUGUGAUGUGGUGGGAAAAGGGGAAAGGGAAGCUGUUGGGGUGGGGAAUGGUCUAUGGGGAACUUGGAAUCCAAGGGAGAAAGAGGCUGUGAUGGCAAAGGGUCCCUCAGUGGUGAGGGUGAAAAUAAGUCAGCUAAGGUGGUGAUCAGGUCAGGUGAGAUAAUUAAGGGGGGCGGUGGAGAGGGCUUAGGCCGAGGGGACAAUAUUAGCUCUUCUGGAGGGGUUGCUGAGGGGGUGGAAGCCAGAGUGAACGAUGACUCAGUCGCAGAAGCUGAAGAAGCCAAAGGGGACACAGAGGGAGCAGCAUCUUUCAGGGACUCCCAAGACAGCAGUCGCUGGAUGUCAGCAGUUGCUCUGUUACACACCUGACAGACGGGGUCUGGGCAUAACAGUCGACGAAAACGGGUGGUAUCAUGAUGCUGGCCCAGGGGACUGCAGGAAGCAGGAGGUCCAAAGCUGCAGCCAGGACCAGAACAAGAAAAUGAGGAUCUGUUAGCUUGGCAGGGGUGGGGCCCCCUGAAUCCUGCUGCACAUUGCCCCCCACCCAUGAACUCACCAUAUAUGAGGUCAUAUGAACUCACCAUAUAUGAGGUCAUAUGACCUCACUAUAGCCUCUCCUCAAAGCAUUCAUUCACAUACCCAUUCCUAUGGCUACCCACUCCCAAAGCUACAGCAGGCUACAAGGAAUCCCUGAAAUGAAUA